rnacentral:lncRNA from 1 species
UGGAGAAUUCCUAUUCUAGGGCGCGUUCCCCUACUCCUCCUAACGAAGUCCCACGAGCUGAGGAAGGGGAGGUACCUCCGGAGGUACCCAAAGACACUACUCCUGGGCAGUCUCCUGCUGCUUCUAGGCCAUCCAACCCCUUCCCUACUCUGUCGGAAGAGGAGCGGGAGAACACAGAGAAAGAGACUCAAUCUGAGCGGACUGAGAGAACUACCGAGAAAGAGAUCUCUGA